UACGUAGGCAGCGAGCGUUGUUCGGAGUUACUGGGCGUAAAGCGUGCGCAGGCGGUUUUGUAAGCCAGGUGUGAAAUCCCCGGGCUCAACCUGGGAAUGGCAUUUGGGACUGCAAGGCUUGAGUGCGGCAGAGGAGACUGGAAUUCCUGGUGUAGCAGUGAAAUGCGUAGAUAUCAGGAGGAACACCGAUGGCGAAGGCAGGUCUCUGGGCCGAUACUGACGCUGAGGAGCGAAAGCGUGGGGAGCGAACAGG
rnacentral:rRNA from 1 species